GUUAUCACCGCACCUGGCCGCCUCACCUGGUCGCCUUUUGUUAGCUGGGUCGUGCAGCUCGCCGUUGUUUGGCAGUUCCGGGUCUUCCUUCUCCCGUAUCGGCCCCAAUUGUAGGGCAUGCGAGUGUUUUCCUCCUCUGCCGGUUGCAGCGGGGAGCGAUCAGCUGAUCGAUCGAGUUGCACGUAAUUGUGCUGCUCGAUGCAAGCGAUCUCCUUCCUCCCCUUUGAUGUUCAUUCAACUCCUGACGGGUUGACGUGUGUGUGGGCGGUUUCUGCCAGCACGUUUUUCCCCCCCCUCUUCACGCUGCUGUUGGCCGGCUGCUGUUUUGCCCACUGGCUUAUAUAGCCAACACAUCCAUCCUACUCUGCAUCUCCUACUGUGCUGUACCUACCACCGAGUAUGGUGACUGCUGCCUCAUCCUCAGUCUCAUCUUAAUCUAUUCAGUUAACCGACUUCUAACUGAUCUUAUUGAUGAUAUUAUUUGUGUUUUGUGGUUUGCUUUGCAUGUUUUUGGUUUAAUUCGUUUUCUUAGUUAUUUUGGUUUGGCUUAAUUGCUUUACCUAUUUAUUUGGAUUUAUCAGUUUGGAUAAAUCUCCAUUACUUUUGAUUUAAUUUCUUUGUUAGUUUUCUUUUGUUUGCAUUUAUUGAGUUUAUUUGCCCUCCCUUAUUUGUAUUUUGUGUUGU